UGAUUAAGCCAUGCAAGUCAUAUGUUCUUCGUGAACAUGGCGUACUGCUCAGUAACACGUGGAUAACCUGCCCUUGGGUCUGGGAUAACCCCGGGAAACUGGGGAUAAUACCGGAUAACGCAUAUAUGCUGGAAUGCUUUAUGCGUAAAAUGGAUAUGUCUGCCCAAGGAUGGGUCUGCGGCCUAUCAGGUAGUAGUGGGUGUAAUGUACCUACUAGCCUACAACGGGUACGGGUUGUGAGAGCAAGAGCCCGGAGAUGGAUUCUGAGACAUGAAUCCAGGCCCUACGGGGCGCAGCAGGCGCGAAAACUUUACAAUGCGGGAAACCGUGAUAAGGGGACACCGAGUGCCAGCAUCAUAUGCUGGCUGUCCAGAUGUGUAAAAUACAUCUGUUAGCAAGGGCCGGGCAAGACCGGUGCCAGCCGCCGCGGUAACACCGGCGGCCCGAGUGGUGAUCGUGAUUAUUGGGUCUAAAGGGUCCGUAGCCGGUUUGGUCAGUCCUCCGGGAAAUCUGAUGGCUCAACCAUUAGGCUUUCGGGGGAUACUGCCAGGCUUGGAACCGGGAGAGGUAAGAGGUACUACAGGGGUAGGAGUGAAAUCUUGUAAUCCCUGUGAGACCACCUGUGGCGAAGGCGUCUUACCAGAACGGGUUCGACGGUGAGGGACGAAAGCUGGGGGCACGAACCGGAUUAGAUACCCGGGUAGUCCCAGCCGUAAACGAUGCUCGCUAGGUGUCAGGCAUGGCGCGACCGUGUCUGGUGCCGCAGGGGAAGCCGUGAAGCGAGCCACCUGGGGAAGUACGGGCCGCAAGGCUGA
rnacentral:rRNA from 1 species